rnacentral:rRNA from 1 species
GUGUCAGCCGCCGCGGUAAAACGUAGGAGGCGAGCGUUAUCCGGAUUUACUGGGCGUAAAGCGCGUGCAGGCGGUUCGGCAAGUUGGAUGUGAAAUCUCCCGGCUCAACUGGGAGGGGUCGUUCAAAACUACCGGACUAGAGGAUGGUAGAGGAAGGUGGAAUUCCCGGUGUAGUGGUGAAAUGCGUAGAUAUCGGGAGGAACACCAGUGGCGAAAGCGGCCUUCUGGACCAUUCCUGACGCUCAGACGCGAAAGCUAGGGGAGCGAACGGGAUUAGAAACCCGCGUAGUCC